UGGCGGACGGGUGAGUAACGCGGUGGGGAACCUGCCCUGUACAGGGGGAUAACACUUAGAAAUAGGUGCUAAUACCGCAUAAGCGCACAGUAUCGCAUGAUACAGUGUGAAAAACUCCGGUGGUACAGGAUGGACCCGCGUCUGAUUAGCUGGUUGGCGGGGUAACGGCCCACCAAGGCGACGAUCAGUAGCCGGCCUGAGAGGGUGAACGGCCACAUUGGGACUGAGACACGGCCCAAACUCCUACGGAAGGCAGCAG
rnacentral:rRNA from 1 species